rnacentral:rRNA from 1 species
GACGUAGGAUCCGAGCGUUGUCCGGAGUUACUGGGCGUAAAGCGCGCGCAGGCGGACACGCGCAUCGGCGGUGAAAGCCCCCCGCUCAACGGGGGAGGGUCCGUCGAGAUGGCGUGUCUGGAGGCAGGGAGAGGCCAGUGGAAUUCCGGGUGUAGUGGUGAAAUGCGUAGAGAUCCGGAGGAACACCAGUGGCGAAGGCGCCUGGCUGGACCUGACCUGACGCUGAGGCGCGAAGGCGUGGGGAGCGAACGGG